rnacentral:rRNA from 1 species
UACGUAGGUGGCAAGCGUUAUCCGGAUUUAUUGGGCGUAAAGGGAACGCAGGCGGUCUUUUAAGUCUGAUGUGAAAGCCUUCGGCUUAACCGGAGUAGUGCAUUGGAAACUGGGAGACUUGAGUGCAGAAGAGGAGAGUGGAACUCCAUGUGUAGCGGUGAAAUGCGUAGAUAUAUGGAAGAACACCAGUGGCGAAAGCGGCUCUCUGGACUGUAACUGACACUGAGGCACGAAUGCGUGGGGAGCAAACAGG